UAGUCUGGCUCCGGCGCCGCCCGUCGCUGACUCGUCCUCGCUGCAGUCGCCGCCGCCGCCGCCGCCGCCGCCGCCGCCGCCGCCGCCGCCGCCGCCGCCGCCGCCGCCGCCGCUCCUCCGCCUGGCCCGGGCCGUCUGCCCGCAGCCAUGAGCGUGCUCGGCCCCGGUGGAGCCCGCAGUCCUCUAGAUUAGUCUCCACCGCCGUCCAGGACCCGCUUGCAGCAUGGAGUCGCCCGCCUCGAGCCAGCCCGCCAGCAUGCCCCAGUCCAAAGGAGCAGCAGCACUGGCUUGUCGACAGUGCAGGUGGCCGGCAAUGGCCUUGCUGACCUCGAGCCGGGCCCACGUGGGGACCUUUGGAGCACAGCCCACGAUCCUAGUGCGAGGAAUGUCCCAUUCUUCUGAUGCUCUGGGAGGGCUGAGCAUCACUUGUGGGUCCCCCUGCCCUGUCAUGGCCUCUUAAAGCCUGAGCAUUGGGCCUGGGGCCAGAGUCCCACCGAUCUGACCCGUUUUGUGCCGGGGAUUUUGUGUGCAUG
rnacentral:sRNA from 1 species